AAAAAGGCAAACCAUGAGUUUCCGUGUCCAACUUUAACUGUCCGUCUUAUAUGAAAUUUUUUUAUAAUUCAUAUUUUUAUUGUUAUUAGAUGAUAAAACAUGAUUAAUAUUUUAUGCGUGACUUGUCUUUUUAAUUUUUUUCAUAAUUUUUUUAAAUAAGACGGACGGUCAAACGUUAGGCACGGAAACCAGGGUUUGUCUUUUU
rfam:Oryza sativa (indica cultivar-group) chromosome 2, whole genome shotgun sequence.